AAACUAACUAGUAUGUCUCUAGUAGCGGCGAGCGAAGCAGACAAAGCUCAAAUUUGAAAUCUGGCUCUUUUAGAGUCCGAGUUGUAAUUUGCAGAGGGCGCUUUGGCUUUGGCAGCGGUCCAAGUUCCUUGGAACAGGACGUCACAGAGGGUGAGAAUCCCGUACGUGGUCGCUAGCUAUUGCCGUGUAAAGCCCCUUCGACGAGUCGAGUUGUUUGGGAAUGCAGCUCUAAAUGGGAGGUAAAUUUCUUCUAAAGCUAAAUAUUGGCCAGAGACCGAUAGCGCACAAGUAGAGUGAUCGAAAGAUGAAAAGCACUUUGGAAAGAGAGUCAAACAGCACGUGAAAUUGUUGAAAGGGAAGCGCUUGCAGCCAGACUUGCUUGCAGUUGCUCAUCUGGGCUUUUGCCCGGUGCACUCUUCUGCAGGCAGGCCAGCAUCAGUUUGGGCGGUGGGAUAAAGGUCUCUGACACGUUCCUUCCUUCGGGUUGGCCAUAUAGGGGAGACGUCAUACCACCAGCCUGGACUGAGGUCCGCGCAUCUGCUAGGAUGCUGGCGUAAUGGCUGUAAGCGGCCCGUCUUGAAACACGGACCAAGGAGUCUAACAUCCAUGCGAGUGUUUGGGUGUCAAGCCCAAGCGCGUAAUGAAAGUGAACGGAGGUGGGAACCCGCAAGGGCGCACCAUCGACCGAUCCUGAAGUUUACGGAAGGAUUUGAGUAAGAGCAUGGCUGUUGGGACCCGAAAGAUGGUGAACUAUGCUUGAAUAGGGUGAAGCCAGAGGAAACUCUGGUGGAGGCUCGCAGCGGUUCUGACGUGCAAAUCGAUCGUCAAAUUUGGGCAUAGGGGCGAAAGACUAAUCG
rnacentral:rRNA from 1 species